GAUCCUGGCUCAGAUUGAACGCUGGCGGCAUGCUUUACACAUGCAAGUCGAACGGUAACAGGUUAAGCUGACGAGUGGCGAACGGGUGAGUAAUGCAUCGGAACGUGCCCAGUCGUGGGGGAUGACGCAGCGAAAGCUGUGCUAAUACCGCAUACGAUCUAUGGAUGAAAGCGGGGGACCGUAAGGCCUCGCGCGAUUGGAGCGGCCGAUGUCAGAUUAGCUAGUUGGUGGGGUAAAGGCCCACCAAGGCGACGAUCUGUAGCUGGUCUGAGAGGACGACCAGCCACACUGGAACUGAGACACGGUCCAGACUCCUACGGGAGGCAGCAGUGGGGAAUUUUGGACAAUGGGCGCAAGCCUGAUCCAGCAAUGCCGCGUGCAGGAAGAAGGCCCUCGGGUUGUAAACUGCUUUUGUACGGAACGAAAAGGUCUCUCUUAAUACGGGGGGCUCAUGACGGUACCGUAAGAAUAAGCACCGGCUAACUACGUG
rnacentral:rRNA from 1 species